GGCUGAAGGUUUUCAUUGCUGCACUACCUGUCUCACUCUCUGUUUCUCUACAUCUCUCUUUUUUCCUCCUGUGUGCUCUCUCUUUCUCAUCCUUCCAUGCACCCCACCUCAUCCCACCUUUUCUCUCUCCAUCAUUUUCCUCCUCUUCCCACUUUGUCCAUCCUCCCACCCCCCGUCCAUUUCUACCUUCAUAUCCCUCUCUCUCUCCUCUCUAUCACUCUCUCACAGAUGCCACAUCACACCACAUGCUCUCCCUUUCUCUCUUUCCCUCUCUCUCUCUCUCCCCCAUCCGUCUGCUCUCUGCUCUCUCAUUCGCUCUACCGGCUCGUCGCCGGCUGUCAGUUCAUUUGCCGCGGCAAAGCAACAACUGGCUUCUUUCAGCGCUGGGAGAGAAGCGGGGAAGGUGAGAGCGACAGGAAGAGUGGAAGAAGAAAAAGAAGAAGUGGAGGAGAGAAAGGAAAAGAAGCAGAGAAGGACAGAGGAUGAGAUGAUCUUUUGUUAAGCAUCCAUCCCUCCCUCUUCCCUCUCUCUGGCAGCAGCAGCAGCUGCAACAUCAGCACCGCUACCUCCACCACCACCGCCGCCGCUCCUGCUGCUGGAUCCUCCAUCUCCUGCCGGGAUCUGCCUCCUCCUUCUCCUCAGGGAGCUCUUCCUGGAAUUGGGAGGGGGAGGGAGAUCACCACCUCCCAGUUUGCCAUGGAUCCUCAGCGCGGUAUCAACAGAAGAGAAGGAAGGAAAGAAGGGGAGGGAAUUUUAGAAGAGGUGCAUCAGGAGAGCAGAGAAGAGGCAACACCCUGGGUUACAGGAGAGCAGACAGGAGAGGAGGAAGAGAGGAUCUCAUUACACCUGGAUAGGGCAGAGCAGGAGCAGCAACAGCACCAAGAAAACCGAAUGUCAUCGCUGGAUCAGGCCUUCCAGGAGACAGGGGCAGUGCUGUCAGGCCGUGGCCCAGAUUGAAAAUGCCACCGUUGUCAAUUUUCUCCUUUGCAGAGGAGCCAUUGAUGGAGCCUUGCCUCACACUGCAGCGAGGCGUCUUCAAUCAAUGCAACUGCCCCGCUUUCUCUAUAUGUGUAUGUGUCUGUUUGCCACUGGAGCCUGAAGGGGGGCUGUUGGCGGCGGCGAUGGCUAUGGUGGUGAUGGUGGUGGUGAUGAUGAUGAUACGAUUGCAGUGGCGCUGCUCACAUGGUUUCUGGCUUAGCUCCCUGUGUUUACUGAAAGACUCUCUUCGGUGACGGGUAUUCUUGGGUGGAUAAUACGGAUCACGUUGUUAUUGCUUAAGAAUACGCGUAGUCGAGGAGAGUCCUCUCUUCGCCCAAUACCAGCAACACCCCCAGCCCCCGACACCCAUCCACCUCACCUCACCCCAACAACCCACCCACCCAUGGAGGUCUGUCAGUUUGGGUGAAGCCUCACCCCCACGCUCCACCAAAAGAAAAACCCACCUCUCUUUGAUUUGUAGUGCAUUGCAAUGUUUUUUUUUGUUUUUUGAUUUUUUUCCUGACCACCUCCUGCCUGCUGAGCCAUAUUUUGAUCUCAAGAGUGUUCUUACAUCUGUCCCACAAUACAUCUGUCAGUCUGUCUCUGUCUCUGUGGUGAUGGACAGCAUAGUGUGUGUGUGAGUGUGUGUUAUUUUUGUGUGUGAUACGUUGCCUUGAGAUUGUUCAGCCUCACAGAGUAAAAACUGCUCUAUGUCUCAUCUGACUGCAACUUCUGAUCAUUUCCCUCUAUCUGCAUGAUACUGCAUAUCUGCAGAACUUGUUCCCAUCAUGCAAGGCCAGCAUGACAGGCUGUACACAUUCUUGUACAUUUAAAAUACAACGAUACGAAGGUCAGGCCUAAGUAGUCAUUUGAAAUUUUAACUAUACUUUAUGACAAGCAGUGGCCUGAUGACCAGUGCAUAACAGCAACUUAAAAACACACACACGGCAUACUUCAUUUUAGUGCUGUCAUCAUCAAAGACGAAACAUUGCUUUCGGCCUUGGGGCUGUCCCAUUUUUAUUGGGGGAAAUUAGAUUAAAUAAAACGUGGAAGCAUAAAAUAGAAACAAUCAAAGUGAAGUAUUAACACAGGGUCCCCCUUUAAAAUAGGGGCUCAAAAUUUUAAAAUACAGACUCCUACUUAAAUUAAGCAUGAUUUAAAACAAUCAAACAUACAACAACAACAAAACAACAACAGUGACACACACAACAAAAGAAAAAAAGAUAAAUUUAAGUAAGGAACCAUUGUCGGCCCUGCAGCUCUGUGGUCCAAGACAGCGUUUAUAACUCCAGCUGCUGGCACAGUUUUUGUUGAGUCAUUUUGUGGCCAAAGCACAAAAACGGGCUAACUAAAAGAAAAAGAAAAAAAGAAACAAAAAUAAGAUAAUUUUAUUUUAUUUUAAUAGAAUGGUUCAGUACCUGCUGGUGGUCAAAAUCCUGCUGUUUAUUUAUUUUUUUUUAAAUGACGCAAAGCUGAACAAAAUGUUGCAGCAUCUUAGUCUAAAAGGAUCAGUAUCUCCUUGGCUAAUAUGGGCAGGCCUGUAAUAUUUAAUGAGGUAUCAGUAGACUGUAUUGCGCUGUAUUUCUAGCGGCUGUGGUUAUGGAGUGGAACCCUGUUUUAUUCAGCUCCAUGUAGUGCAUUUAUUAUGGGCAGCGCUGAGCUGAGCAGCCUCUUACUUUCUCCCUUUACAUCCCUUUUUAUGCAAAUAGCUGCUCAAAUGACAUUUAUCACAGUGAGGUUUACGCUACAUAUAAUACUGCUGCAGCCGCUGCGCUUCACUCACACACACACACACACACACACACACACACACACACACACACACACACACACACACACACACACACACACACACACACACACACAGAGAGAGAGAGAGAGAAAACAAAAUGUCUACCAUGACUGGUCGACAGCUCAAUUUAUGCAUUGAGGAGAGAAGUGUCUAGAUAAACAAUUACCUCUGGCUCAAAUGGUCUAUAACCAGCUUUUUCUGUGUUGCCGGCUGGGGCAAUCCACCAUGAAUAUGGAUUCCCUCUCCAUGUCUGAUGUCACAUUCUGAACCUUGACACCCAUGUAAAAUCCAUUUAAACAUCUAAUAGGAUCAGCUUGACUCAUAAAGCCAUGUCCCCACACAUGUCACCUCCCAUGAUCAUUCGCUUGAGAUUUCCAUACCACCAGGCUAGUGUAAAUCAUUUUUUACACACCUUCCGAGAACGAGUAUGGAAUAUCAAAAUAAUCCUUUUUUUUGGUCGUGUACAAUAUUCCCAGGCAGUAGUUAAUUUUAAAGUUAGCCACAGAGUCACUCAGACAUGCUCAUGUUUGUAAUUAUACAAAUCAUCCAAGUCAUUACCAUUGCAGAUUAUUCAAAUAAUAAAAUUAUAUGUUUAACACUUGGCUUAGCUGAUAAUUACUGUUCCUUUCCUUGUGGAAACAAACAAAGAGACAUGCUAAAACGUGUGUAGGAGGACGUAAAAUAGAGCAUUUGUGGCAUAAUCACAGAUGAAUAAAAAAAUUUAAAAUCACACACGUGCACACACACACACACACACACACACACACAUUUUCUCCCCUGCAUUUGCGUGUUGACUGUUGGAGGUGGUGUGGUGUUGAUGUCCUCUCACCGUUUGUUUCUUGUUGUCUGUGGGAUUCUUAUUGUUGCUGCUGUAGGGCUUCGGCUGGCUGACAUCGCUGCUGCCACAUGAUGAAGUUGUUUUGUAUCAUGUGAACACUUUAUACUCACAUCGCUGAUACACUCUAAGCCUGCGACAAUAUAUUUGUUUUUAAAAGUGGCCGCAUUGGUGCGCAUCUACAUAAAACUCAUACAUGUUGCUUAUUAAGAAUUAAAGAUGCAACUAAAAACUUCAUUUAUUCAUUUAUUAUUUUGUCACAUUUACUCGCAAAGAUUGCGUCAGAUUCAGAAUUGUUCAUUGAUGCUGUAAUUACCACACACUUACAAAAACAAACAAACCCAAAACAGUGGCAAUGAUGUGGUAUAAAGUGCUAUCUUAGUGUCAUUCUGUGUGUGCCAGCCUGUAUUUGGACUGUCUCUGCCUGGUUCCAAACUGUUGUAAAGAGCUGCCAUGCUGUAAAAAACAUUGUUGAAACAUAUCUUCAAAUGCAGCGGACAAUUUCUUUAAUGACCUCAUGAAUUAAGCAUUGUGUUCUCUCGUUGAAUAUUGGAAUAGCUCCUGAUGGUGGCACUGGGAUAUCUAAACUGCUGGUUAUCUGCAGUGAAUUCCAUUUCUCCACACUCUUUUUCCUUGCUGUCUGUUGUGGUCGUACACUAAUGCUGCUGUGUAAUGCCAUGCUGCUGCAGAUGGUAAUGAUGAUUGUUUUAAAGCCAGCCAGGGAUGGAUGCUGCAUACAUUUUAGUCAUUUCAAUAAUGGCAGUGACGUGAAUGCUAUUUUCUUUUGUAAGUGUGCCUUAUUUCUGUCAAUAAAAUAUGGCUGUGAAUAUAAAUAAACCCCUCUCUUGAAGUUA